rnacentral:lncRNA from 1 species
AUUUUGAUGACAGCUCAAUGGUUAAGGCGCUAUCGCUUACUUCCGGUAUACUUCCGGGAAAUUUGCAUAAAACUAGCAAGUGAGCUUUGUUCUCUGUGCUAAUCUCAAGAUUGAAUGCUAGGUUUUAGCAAACAAACAUGCGAUUUUCAAGUUUUGUGAGUAUCUCAAGUCCAAUCCUUUAAAUAAUGAGUCUUUAUGCGUGUCUAAUAGAUGGCGUUUUAAUUGUUUGUGUCAGUUAUGGGCUCAUGGCGGUUUGCUGUCAAAAGUUAAGCUAAUAUCUUUUCUUCGAAAAUUAACAAUGUAUUUACUGGAGAAAACGUGUUGAAAGAGUCGUGCAGCUCACUGCUGUCGUUCAACCAUUUAUUUGUUCAAAAUCAUUGCAUUCUACUGAAUUUGCCAUCAAAAUGGAACAGGAUUCAUCAUAAUUGUCUGCUGUUUGUAUUGGACUUGCUAGAUCGCCAAUCCCAGCCAUGCCGAUUUUUAGUGUUCUUCAUUACAGGUUUCUAACACAUUGGCAUGACAGAUUUGACGAGAAGUCAUAUUUUGAAGAAAAAGGACAAGGACCAAACAGUCAACAAGGUUCCUUGUUUGCUAACCCGUUGGCUGCUACCCUUCAAUCUCCCUGUUUACUUCCUUACACAGGUCCUAUUGAUUUGAGGGUAACUCUUUCGCUGCUGAUCACAUCAAGUCCUCAACUGUUAUAUACUGACGAGAGAAUGCUGCAAUUCAAGACUGAUGGAUUGUGUAGUUGUUAGAUAAAUGACAAGUGCAUAUCUGG